UACGGGGGGAGCAAGCGUUGUUCGGAUUUACUGGGCGUAAAGGGCGCGUAGGCGGUCAGCACAAGUCAGUUGUGAAAUCUCCGGGCUUAACUCGGAAAGGUCAACUGAUACUGUGCGACUAGAGUGCAGAAGGGGCAACUGGAAUUCUCGGUGUAGCGGUGAAAUGCGUAGAUAUCGAGAGGAACACCAGAGGCGAAGGCGGCCACCUGGACAGACACUGACGCUGAGACGCGAAAGCGUGGGGAGCAAACAGG
rnacentral:rRNA from 1 species